AGGAGUUAAUCAGAAGGGGUACAGCUCUUCUGAUAAAAGAAACAACUUUAGUAGGUGAAACAGGAUCAUAUUAACCAAGGACUAAGAUUUAAGUGGGCCUAAAAGCAGCCAUCUUUAAAGAAAGCGUUAAAGCUCCAACUAGUUUUUCCCCUUAUAUACUGAUAUUAAACCCCUCCCCCCUACCACCUACCGGGCUAUCUUAUGCCCCCAUAAGAAUAAUUAUGCUAAAAUGAGUAAUAAGAAGAAAUCAUUUCUUCUCCCAGCAUACGUGUAAGUCGAACCGGAUUCCCCAUCGACUAUUAUCCGACCCCAACCCCAGAGGGUCCUAAGUUGAAAAAACAAGAAAAUCACUUAAUCAAAAUCGUUAACCUCACACAAGGAUGCAUCAAGGAAAGACUAAAAGGGGAGGAAGGAACUCGGCAAACCCAAGCCUCGCCUGUUUACCAAAAACAUCGCCUCUUGAUCUAUGAACAUAAGAGGUCUCGCCUGCCCAGUGACUAAAUGUUAAACGGCCGUGGUAUCUUAACCAUGCGAAGGUAGCGUAAUCACUUGUCUUUUAAAUGAAGACCUGUAUGAAUGGCAAAACGAGGGCUUAGCUGUCUCCCUUCCCCAGUCAAUGAAAUUGACCUCCCCGUGCAGAGGCGGGGAUAAACAUAUAAGACGAGAAGACCCUGUGGAGCUUUAGACUUAAAAUAACCACGUUAAACAAACUCCGACAUGAGAAAAAACUUAGUGAGCUUUAUUUAAAUGUCUUUGGUUGGGGUGACCGCGGGGCAAAACACAGCCCCCAUGAAGAUUGGGGAGAUAUCCCUAAUACCAAGAAUUACCCUUCUAAGCAACAAAAUCUUUGACUUUAAAAAUGAUCCGGUUUGACCGAUUAACGAACUCAGUUACCCCAGGGAUAACAGCGCAAUCCCCUCUCAGAGCCCUUAUCGACGAGGGGGUUUACGACCUCGAUGUUGGAUCAGGACAUCCUAAUGGUGCAGCCGCUA
rnacentral:rRNA from 1 species